UACGGAGGGGGCGAGCGUUAUUCGGAAUUAUUGGGCGGAAAGGGCGCGUAGGCGGCCCGGUAAGUCAAAGGUGAAAUCCCUCGGCUCAACUGAGGAACUGCCUUUGAAACUGUCGGGCUUGAGGCCGGGAGAGGGUAGUGGAAUUCCCAGUGUAGCGGUGAAAUGCGUAGAUAUUGGGAGGAACACCAGUGGCGAAGGCGGCUACCUGGACCGGUUCUGACGCUGAGGCGCGAAAGCGUGGGUAGCAAACAGG
rnacentral:rRNA from 1 species